UAUCUCAUGCUGAAUGCAGCAUAGCUAAUCAGAGUGAUGAUAUUGUAUCCGAUGAAUCGACUGUAUCCAUCGAAGAUUUUUUGGAAGAUGAAUCGGAAGAAGAGUGGAGACAGUGAUGCUGAAGAAGGAGAUACCGAAGGCUGUUCAUCAAGUUUGCCGUUUGCUGAUCGUAUAAGAGGAUGGGCAUUGAAAGCAAAUCUUUCACACUACAGCCUCAAUCAGCUUCUGCAAAUUAUUAAUACGUCAAAGAUCGAUAAACUACCCAAGGAUGCCAGAACGUUGCUUAAAACAAAUAGGGAGCGUGCAAGAGUAGAUAAUAUAGCAGGAGGAAAAUAUUGGUAUAAUGGAAUACAACAGUGUUUUUCCAACAGUUUUAAAAAUCAAAGCAUUCAUUUGGACUCGAUAUUGAUAAACAUAUCAAUCGAUGGGCUCCCUCUGUAUAAGAGUAGCCCUACUCAAUUUUGGCCUAUAUUGAUGAAUAUACAUGAAUUGCCAGACAUCCCAAUGAUGAUCGUGGCUAUUUUUUGUG